rnacentral:rRNA from 1 species
UACGUAGGGGGCAAGCGUUGUCCGGAUUCAUUGGGCGUAAAGAGCUCGUAGGCGGCUUGGCAAGUCGGGUGUGAAAACUCCAGGCUCAACCUGGAGACGCCACCCGAUACUGCCAUGGCUUGAGUCCGGUAGGGGGCCACGGAAUUCCUGGUGUAGCGGUGAAAUGCGCAGAUAUCAGGAGGAACACCGGUGGCGAAGGCGGUGGUCUGGGCCGGUACUGACGCUGAGGAGCGAAAGCGUGGGGAGCGAACAGG